GACGAACGUUGGCGGCGUGCUUAAUACAUGCAAGUCAACUGAAGCAGUGGUAGCAAUAUCGCUGUGGAGGUGGCGCACGGGUGAGUAACACGUAGGUAAUCUGCCUUCAGGUCUGGCAUAACUCCGGGAAACCGGGGCUAAUAGCAGAUGAUGCAGCGGCUCGACAUCGAGACAGUUGUUAAAGCUAUGGCGCCUGAAGAUGAGCCUGCGUCUGAUUAGCUAGUUGGCGGGGUAACGGCCCACCAAGGCAACGAUCAGUAGCUGGUCUGAGAGGAUGAUCAGCCACACUGGAACUGAGACACGGUCCAGACUCCUACGGGAGGCAGCAGUAAGGAAUAUUGCUCAAUGGGAGAAACACUGAAGCAGCAACGCCGCGGGAGGGACGAAGGGCUUUUGCUUGUAAACCUCUGUAGUGAGAGAAAAAAAUCCCAAUCUUUGGGACAUGAUGGUAUCUCAAAAGUAAGCCCCGGCUAACUACGUG
rnacentral:rRNA from 1 species